rnacentral:lncRNA from 1 species
AGCCUCUAAUAUGAACACUCAAACACAUAUGCAUGUUCAAAUCAAAAGGUCUUUUCAUGGUUGUAAUGGGGCCAAGGACAAGGGAGGAUACAUCUGGAUAAAAAGCUACAAACCAAAAGGAAUAGAGGAGCAAUGGGGAACAAGUGUAAACACCUUCAAACACACCCACAACCUCUAAUUCCAUCAUCUUCUUGACUCCAUUAUUCAUAAAAAUUUUUUCUGUAUUUUUCCUUUUUUUUUUUUUUAUUUUGUCUCUUUUCUUUUUCUAUUCAACAUACAAUUCAAAAGACAAGAUACAUAAUAUUUACAAUGCAAUUGCAAGAAGAAGACUCACUAGCCAAUUCAUCUGCAACUCCUAAGAGACCACACUUAUUCCCAAAACAAUUCCAAAGCUCCAAAAUUCCCUAAGGUUCAGGUAAUCAUGGUUUUUCACUUAGGCUAUUGUAUGAGCUUCAAAACAAAGAAAUGGGGGAAGUAUAGGCUCAAGGGGGCUAACAAAGAAAUCAUAACAGGGUAGGCUAUCUGGCUAGAGAGGCUCAAUCAACAAAAUGCCUUUAUCAUUUUCAAACAUGCUCAUGAAUCAAGAAUUA